UUCUCUGUCUUAUGAGGUCUCUUCAUGGUGGCUUAUGGGAACAGAAUUCCGUGGGCUUCAAGAAUUCGGGGUGCAUUGCUUUCUAGUUUUGAAUGUUUGCACCCUUUCCUGGUGUCCUGUUUUCUCUCACACACGUGCAGAUCAGUAUUCACCCACUGUGCCUCGGGGCAGGCGUCUCCUCUCUAAGGUGCUCCAGCUGGCUCUCUAGCCUUCUCGGUGUCCCCCAUCUAAGUGAGACCCCUUCCCCCGGGCUCUCCUCCAUCCCCCUCCCCCACACUCAGCCUGAAAAGCGCCUACCGCCAAUCAGGUGAAGCAAUCCCGGAAUUCACCGUGGAUUUCUGCCCUAGGCUCAGCGUGAUCGCCUGUGCUGUUAUCCAAGCUCUGAUACCACGUGUCCUUGGGCUUGCCAACAUUUUAGUUAGUUAAAGAAGACAGAAGAUCCCUGGAGUCUCUGGCAUUCUGUCAUGGGCAGGAGCAAAUUAAUUCUAUACCAUGGUAUUUAACAUUAGGAUCAUUUUACUGAAUAGCAGAUUCUGGUCAGUUUUGAAUUUUAUGACACAGCUUACUAAAUAUCUUUCAAAACUGUGCCCUUGUUCAUUUAUUUAUCACACAACUGUCUGUUCUCUCCUUUGCUGCAGGAUACGAAUAAAGCAGGGAAUGAAACAGGUAAGGUCACAGUCUCAGAAGCUUUUACUCGAGCAAGGGAAGACAGGUAGAAUAUAAAAUAGUAAAUACACAACAAGCCUUGGCGUGAGUGCAUCGGUGCUGUAAAACAACAUGUGUUGGUGAGCAACCAGGGCGGCUAUUUACGAGUGUUUAAGGAAGUCCUCCCUGCAAGGCUGAUGUGAUCGGACUCAUCGGUCAGAACAACCGUGUGCACAUCUGGGCGUAGCGUGUUCCAGGCAGAGGGAACAAUAACUCAUCACAGCAGCCCAGGAAAGUAGCAAGCUUGAACUAGUGGAGAAGCAGGGAGAAUGGUUUGGUUGGAGUAGAGUGAGCUAGGGAGGCGAGGCUUUGUGGGGUGAAGAGUCUUGAGCAGUGUGUAUGGUAUUGGACUCAUUAUACGUUAAAUAAUGCACUUACUUAAACCUAUCCUACGUUAGGUUUUUAUUUUUAAAAUGCUCUAUCAUCAUUUAUACUGCAACAAACAUUUGUGUUAUGUUCUGUGUUUAGAAUGAUUUUAAUGGGCGGAAUUCCAGGACUGGAAUGGAAGAAUGUGAGGCUGUUGGUGGUCCCAGGACCCCUGCUACACCACAGUACCCUGUGGACGCUGAUGGUGACUUACACUGGGGACUGGGGGGCACCUCCCCAGGAACCUGGGAGGGACACCCAUACAUAGCACUAGUCAAGAACCACGUGGGAUAUAAAGCACUGGCCUCACAAGGCACCGACAUUCCUGCUCACUGUGGGACAUGGCUGGGUGCUUUUUCUACUCUUGAGUUCCUGGAAGGAUCAGGUUGAGGCCACAUUUCUGGGGACACCACAUUCCUGCUUGGCACCUCUCCUUUCCCGUCUUACUCCUUCCCUGCCUUUCAGGUUUCAUCAGGUCACCUGCAUCACAAUGCCCCACCUGGCUCUGCCCCCAGGGAGACCAAACUAAGACAGAAUAUAAACUUUUUGAAGACUUCCAAUUUCUUAAAUUUCUGUUACUAGAAAUAACACAUCCACUGAAGAUGAUUAGAAAUGUGCCCAGUCACCAAAAAGGACAGAAAGCAUUGGAGGUGUGGGAGGUGGCAGGUGGGUAGUGGAAAGAUGAGCCAGGAUCUCAGAUGAAGGGAGAAUUGUAACUUCCUGUAGACUGAAUACCUUGACACUUAAUCCCCAGUGUGAUGUUGGGGCGGGGUGGGAGGAUACGAAUCAUGAGGGUGGGAGGUGAUCAGGUCAUGAGGAUGGAGCCCUUAUGAACAGGAUUUGUGCCCUCUAUAAAAGAGGCCCCAGAGAGUGCUGGCCUUCUGCCACAUGAACACACACCAAAGCGGCUUCUUUGGACCAGGAAUCAGGACCUCACCAGACACGAAGCUGUUGGAGUCUUGAUCUCGGACUUCCCAGUCUCCAGAAUGGACUCUCCUGUUUGUUGCUGUGUCCAGUGUCUCAAGUUCUAAAGACAAGAGAACAGAAACAUGAACGUCGAGGAUGGAAGAGGGGUAACAGGAAAGAAGGGUCAGUACACAGCCGCGGGCAUCGGGGAGACCAGCACCCUGGGAGGCUGAGGCAAGGGGCUGCAAAGCUGAGCCCAGCCUGCCACGAUGCUUCCCCUGGCUGGAAUAAUUGAACACUGACUUGCCAAGAACUCAAACCGCCUUUCAGAGCAGCUAGGGAGCUGCCGCGAUGACGCCCCAUGGUGAUGGCUCUCGGGAAGAUGCAUCAUCCCCAGGGACACAGUGGUGGUGAUUGCAGCAUUUAUAAGCAGUGAAUCACACAGCAAGGCAUGCUGCGCCAGGGGGACAGACCCAGAUCUGGAUUGGAUGGUUUCCCAAGCCAGAGUCACCCAACAGGCCCGGGAAGCUUGUGAAUCCUCUCCGGGGGUGUGAUUACCAAGGCCAAUGCACGCCAUGAGCCAGCACAAAUGCCCUGCUGAGAAUCCAGGCCGGGACAUGUGGGGACAAGACUUGUGCUCAAAGGGCUACAGCAGAGUCUGUGGGCCACAGUUCCUGCCUGUGCUGCUCCCAGCACAAGAGGAGGCACUGGAUUGUGGUGUGGUGGAGACAACAGGGACCAGAGGCAGGAGGAGUGGCUUGGCCCCAGCCUCAGAGAAGUGGCGCCAUGUUGCCAUUCCUUGGCACAGAGAAGCAGACAAGUCUACUGGAAAAACAGAGGUCCCUUGAGGUGAUAGAAGCUAGAAGAUUCUGCUUCCCUGAUCGAUGACACUGAACCUUGGCUUGGGAGGUAAUGGAUCAAGGAUACAAGGAACAAGAAGCCCCCAACCCACCCCACCCCAGGAUCUGCUGCUGUAAUGCAACUUCAGGGAGUCCCCUCGUCAUAUGCCAAAGACACUGAGAGAUUGGGAGCAGUGGUGGAGGUGCUCCACGAACUAAAGGGCUCUUAAGUUCCUCUCAUUCCUGUCAUUCUGUGAUUCUAGUUUAAUGUGCAGACAGGACAAACAUGGCUCAAAACUACAUAAGCAACAAGACACGGGGAGCAAAGCAAUGGGGUACUACUCACCGAGACAUGAAGUGGUCAAGUCGAGCUUUGCCUUCCUGCCUGGAGCGUGACCUUUAUCACCUGUGGUCCUCAGCCAGGCCACAGACAGCUGGUGGCAGGGUCGAGGAUGGGAAAUCAGGGCUGAACACAGAGGAGGAGGGCGUGAGAACAGGCAGAGGAGCCUUCCCGGAAGUUCAGAGAGCUGGGUAUAAAAGAAAUUGGAAGGAGAAAAUUCUGAAAAAAGCCUUUUUUUUUUUUUUUUUUUUCUUUUUUAAAACUGAAAGCUGCAAAUCUUUUCUCCCUGGAAAGGGAUACUGUGCUGUUGAUUCAUCCAGAUUUGAACUUCAUGAAAGCUGAGAUGAUCCAAUCUUUGUCCUGCAGAGAAAGAGCUGGUGUGAGGGAGGGGAGGAUGGAGAAGGUUCAGGGCCCCCCUGGGCCUUCUAUGAGCCAAACCCCUAUCCCAGGUCCCUCUCCUGUAAAAGCACGAGCGCUUGCCAUGUGGAUGCACAGGAGCUUCUUCUAUGAGGGUUGCUCAGUGAGCACCUCUGGGCAAUCUUUGCAGGGCCGGCCAGGAGAGGGAGAGGUUUGUGCGGUCUCCUCUGGUGGCUGGAGCAGACUGAGGGUCUGAGCAGGUUCACUGAGCACCUCCUGCCUGGGUUCUGUUGUUCAAGUCCAGCCUGGGCCACUUAGUAAUCAUGACUCCUUGAAUAAGUUGCUUGACCUCUCUGAUCUCAUGUGAUGCUUGGUUCUCACAUGGGGUCAAUCACUUAUUUAAACAGGCUUGGACUGAGAAUCCAGUGUAAGGCCAGAGGUGGUGCCUUAACCCUGAAUUCGUGUCUUCUUGUCAUCCAAGUUAUAGGCAAAUGAGUGAAACUGAUUUCAAAAAGUGAAAUAUAUCAUGUGAAUAAAAUUUCUAGUAGAUUGA